UUAUCGUUAGCUCAGUUGGUAGAGCAGUUGACUUUUAAUCAAUUGGUCGCAGGUUCGAAUCCUGCACGACCCACCA
rnacentral:tRNA from 1 species